CAAAUUUAAGCCUCGGAACAGCGCAAGACUUGGAUUAGUUACUGUUUGCAAAUGCGAACGGAGGAGCAACAGUCAAGGUGGCUGAACUUUAAACAAACUUGCAGCCUUCGUUACACCGGCGAGUUACACCGUCAAAAUAGAACCACAGCUACUCACAUACACGCACAUGCCAACUUGUCGAACACGAUGGGUAAAACCGGUGCCAAGUUUACACCACUACAUUCCUGCUAUUUGACAUGAAGAAAUACGGUCGAGUCGAGACGAAGAAAACAUGCACCACGAAAAUGACGCCACAAAGAAGCACAAAAACAUUAAUUUAUUUAUAAAGAGACACACCGUUUUCCGAUCCGACAGAGUCGCGAAAAGCGAACCGAAAAGAGAAUCGCUACCACCAAGGAAAAAUAUUGUUUCGACCGACUUACAAACACCACAGGGGGCCACGAUGCUGAGCAUAUAGUUAAGACCUAGCUUAAUGGCGAGAUUCUGCAUUCGAGAAAUAUUUCCCCUAACGUCGUUGAUGACAAUUAGAUAACAAUCACACCGAGCUGCCGAGUUACCCCUUUCCGAGACGAUUUAUCUUUGUGUCGGACUUUCGUUUUCUCAUUUGCAUCACACACAUUCCGUAUAAUUAGUAUGUUGAACAAUCCUCCAAAAUGGAACCACUAGUAAGCACUGCACAGAACAACUAAGUUGUAACACUAACGACAAUGGCGACCUGGAAACCGGAAAAACGAACUGGAAAAAUCGAAGAUUUCCCACCUCUACUUAGUAUGCAAACGAAGCAAACGGCCACAGUCACCACAACACCCCACACGCUACGGGCACUACUAAUAUCGUCGCUUUGCUAGUAUGCUGCAUCUACCGGCUAUCCACUGAAUCGUGGUCAGCAGUAGUGAACUCGAUUUUUGUCCCGUUCUGACUGUGUAGUGGUUUGAAGUGAAUCAUCGCUAGUCAAAUAUACUAAAUGUGAGCGGUGCAGGUUCACUUUAAUAUCUAUCAGAGCUCGAAUGUACAAAGUAACGGAUCUCUAGUAAAUCGAAUUGGUGUGAAUCAUUAGGAUUAGGUCAUAUUAUUCGGAGAAACUUUCAGAAAACAGCUCCGUCUGUGGUUAGGAAGUUAGCGGAGGCUAACAUUAACAUUGCUGGUUGUGUCGAUUGAUAACACGAUUCGCCUGUCUGUAUAAGCGUGAAAGUGUAAGGUUUUCAGUACGCUUAGCAGAGUGCAAAAUACAUACGCAAACAAUGAAGCGAUAAGCUAAUCAACUUGUCGUAAGUUUGAUAGCGGAAUCAGGUGGAAAGAAACGAAACAAAAUUCAUGUUUGAAACUAAUAGAAAAACAGUAAGUCUUACCAAUCUCAUGGACUAUAGUAACUGCUUACGUAAAAUUAUUACCCGACAAAUUUUUCAAAUUGUCUUUCAAAUGCCACCAUUUGUCAUUGCACUGUGCAACAAUGCUACCGCGGUUGAAUCGGGCUAAUCAUACCCCAAACAAACAAAUAGCUACGAGGAAGUGAAUGGCGACUGACAUGCACAAUCGGUCAAAUUUUCCCACCAUUCAUCGUUUAACCGCUGCAUCAACGUUCACCACCAUCAUCAUGUUGUUGAAGCUGCUGCCACCAUGAAAUUACCUCCUGCCCAGGGAGUACAGUACAACUCCGGCAAAAGAAGUGACUUGUGGCUAAUUUACAUCGCAUAAUGUAAUGAGCUGCUGUGAAGUGCUACUUGGUGUUCCAAUCGUACACUGGGGACCGUAUUCGCAUACCAACUUUCUUCGAUUCAAUUAUGCUUGUUGAAGGGAAUAAAUUAAAAGACGGAUUUACCUUGAGCUGAAUUUCUUAUCCGGUAAGCAAUUCAUAGUGCGUGUUAAUGCUCUGAUAUUUGCAGGUAACAUCAUUUAUUUAUAAGCUCGGGCUCCAUGAAAAACAGUUUUGCUCAAAUUGAUUUAAGAAAAUAAUAACAUAAAUAGCACUACUUCGACAAAAAAAAAAGAAAAAUAAAGCAUUUGGCUCCAUUGUAAACUGAUAUAAGUAUCGGUUCCUUAAUUUCUACUGAUGUUUUGUACAUUACUGCCCAUAAUCGCAUAUCAGUCCCAGCUUCAUUUUCAUCAAGUUAACAAAACAGCGCGUUAAGGUGUUUUUCUUUCUUAAGUUAUUCCAGCUGUUGAGCGUGGUUCAUUCCCAUAUUUUCGACAUAAUAUAAUGAGAUAGACAUUUACCAUAACUUCUCUAGAAGAACGACAAAAAUGCAGGUGGGACUGGUAUGCGAUUAUGGGAAGAUUACCAAAUAGCAAAAGUAUAAUUUAAGAAAAAAACAAAUAAACAAAAAGAAUGUGAACGCGACUAUACAUAAUUAAAAAAUUUGAAAAUUGUGAAAAACUUUUUACCAGAGGCAGAAUAGGCGACAUUCAUAAAUCACCCUCCCAUAUGUAACGAAACGUAACGCCAACACCUACCCCCCAUAAAAAUUACGUAACACUAU